CCUCUCAACUUCCUGCUUCUCCGUGUUUGUAAUGUGUCUUUGCAGGGUAUAAGGAAGGAGCUACCUCAGAUGUGGUCUGAAGAAGAAGUAAAAGAGUUGUGGAGGCCAAAUAGCAUCACACUGUUGAUGUUUUCCCAUGCCCCCGGGCCUCUCCACAAACCUAGAAUCAGCCAACUAAAAAUGGAAAACACAUCAUGGGGCCCUACAGACAAAAUUGAUACCUUACGUCCAGCCGCUGUUGUAGGAAGGAAACGUAUGGCCUGCCCUCAAUAAGACCUUUAAGGUACACUCUGUUUCCUUGGAUAUUAAGCAAGUCUGUGCUGUAUUUUAGCCAAUGUAUUCCAGAAUUCCCUCAUUUCUCUGUUCUGUGGGUGUUUCAGAU
rnacentral:lncRNA from 11 species